GUUCAAAUCAAUGCCAUUUGCAGUCAGUGACUACCCAUAUCCCAUGCUGUUCUUGCGAUGGUGUGUCAGAAACUUCCUAGUCCCCUUGAUAUUACAGCCGAGAGAGUGGAGAGAUUGAUGUGUACAGGAUCACAAACUUUUGACUCUCUUCCACCAGAAACUCAAGCACUGAAAGCAGCUUUUAUGAAAUGUGGAAGUGAGGACACUACUCCAAG